CUUAUAGUUUAAUUGGUUGAAACGUACCGCUCAUAACGGUGAUAUUGUAGGUUCGAGCCCUACUAAG
rfam:Triticum urartu cultivar G1812 contig414376, whole genome shotgun sequence.